UCAAUUUAUGAUUCAGUUUCAGAAUGCUGUGAGCGUGAUGAUAACCAGUCUCUGACGUACUGUGUUUUACCUAAUGGCUAUAAUAUGUUACUUAUGUUUUCCGUUGUGAAUUUAUCGUGCGAAAUUGAAACUUGAUAAUUUGUAAAUGUACGAGUAGAUGUAGAACAGUACAUGAUCCGAAUGUAGAGUGACUAUCACUUUGUGCAAAAUGUUGACCACGAUAAGAGAUUUAUUACUGUUAGGAGACGAAAUUCGUUUAAUAGUUGCGAUUGUCCUGCCAACUGUGAUAUGGGUAUCGAAAAAUUGUGCAGGUUUUUCGGGGAAGACCCAGUUGUUGUAUGCUAUCUCAAUUUCUGCGACGAGUUGUAUUUCUAACUGGUCCGUCGCGAAAAAUUCGCAGUCAGAGACUGAUAUCAAGAUCAUCUGCGCUUUGGCUACUUGGCUGACGGUUUAUCUAAUAUACGUGAAAUUUAAGGACACCAAUAGUCGUCAAGAGGAUUCACUCGGGGUCGUAUAUUUAAUACUCUUUGCAGCCAUUGCGGCUAUUGCAGCAGCGAUAUUCAGCAAUGGGUUUUCCACAGAGGCUAUCGAAUCUACGUUCUUGGAGCUGCUCGAAUUCAAAUUCAAUUACAUAGAUGUACUUCGAUCAUUCGGUUUAUUCAUCGAAGCCGUUGCCAUUCUACCUCAGCUAUUCAUGAUUUAUCGAGAUAAAACCUUCGAAACGAGAAAAAUCGCACUUUAUUACAUCUUCGCAAUGUGGGCCUAUCGAGGGGUUUACGUGAUAAGUGCAUUGUCAGGGUACGAAUUCACUUGCCCUGAUCUUUACAUAAAUUCAUCCGCGUGUUUACAAUAUGUGAUUUUUAUGACUUUCGUGAUCAUUUAUGUAUGGAGAAAAGUGCCUCAUUUUAAAUUUGCCGAGGAAGCAAAUAUUGAAGUGUAUAUUUAAAUGUAGAAAAAUGUCAAAUGUAUACAAAAUAAUUAUCUAAGUACCUACUAAAGUAAAGUUUACAGAAAUAAAAAAAUCUUGGUUGUAAAAAACUGAGUGGCUUUUUUAUGCUACUCAAAAAAAUUUUAAUUAAACUUUUCCUCUUGGGUAAAAAUGAAUUAUAAAUUCUAAAAUUCACACCAACACGUAGCUGCCUUGUUUUGUAUUACCUACAGAUUUCACUUUCAAUCUAACACUGCUGAACACGUCGCAGUUUCUGUUAUGCCUUCAGGCCCUCAUUGGUCGUUGACACGAGAAAGGAGACGCUCAGAUGCCAUAGUCUUCUGGAGCAUGUUGAAGUUUUUGGAGAAAAAUCAACAAUUUUGCUGGAGACUCCAGAUCGUCUACAUUUUUGAUAAAAAUGGGUCUUUUUGUUUUUUGUUUUUUUUUUUUUUUGAAAAAAGAACCAACUGCGUCAAAAAUACGAGAUUUUUUUGGGAAAAUUUUGACUAAAAAGGUACGUGCGGCAAUUUUGUACUGAAAAUUCUGCAAUUUUGUCAAAAACAAGACUGUCUGGUAAUUCUGGGAAACAGAACAGUUUUUUUUGGCAAUCCUGACAAAAAAUGUGCCCUUUUUUUUAACAGGUUUUACAAGAAUGUAGGUCUUUUUACACUUAUGGGAAAAUUAUAAUUUUCUGAUUAUUUUGAUAGAGAGCAUCUUUUUUUUUUUUUUUUGCAAUUUUGACGAAAAUAAAAACUCAUUUUUUAUGCCGCAAAAAAACAAGACUUUCUGGAAAUUUGACCUAAAGGAAGGCUUUUCUUUUCAACGUUUGCGAAAAACGACACUUUUUGACAAUUUAGAUGAGAAAGAACGAGUCAUUUUGAUAAUUCUGACUAGGUACAAACAGGGACGUAGCGAAGUGGUUUUGCAGGGGGGGCAAAGAUCCUAAGAUUCCCAACUAAUUUGACUGAAAAUUCCCAAGUUGGAUGAAAAAAGAGGGUAUUCAAGUUACAAGUAGUGAGGGGAUUGUAUCACGACAUUUUGUAGCCAAAAAUUGUAACUUUGCCGACUAUAAUCAAAAUUUUAACGUGCUGAACACUCUGGUAUUAAAAAUUUUGAAAAGCUAGUGGUUCUGUUCCGAAAGAAAUGAAAAAUUUGAAUUUUUUAUAAGCUUUGAAUAUUAUGAGUAUUUCUGGAACUUUUCUGUUUAAUCUUCAUAUUUUUAAAAUCGUUUAAAGCAGGCCCGAGCGAAGCGAGGGCAAAAGUUUUGGAAAAUUUAUGAUUCAAAAAGUAGAAUAACAUCAAUUUUAAUAAAAGAAUUCGGUUUUUGUAAUCUCAACAUUUUUCAAAUUCAAUCAUAGAUUUUUUUAAAUAUUGUAACUUUGUAGAUGAGAAUCAAUUUGGGCCGAGCGAAGCGAGGCCGAAAGCUUUAAAAAGUUUGUAGUUCGCAAAGUAGAACAACAUCAAUUUUAAUGAAAGAAUUCGGUUUUUCUGAUCUCAACUUUCUUUUAAUUUAUCAAUGGUUUUGUGAAAUUCUUAGUGUGAAAAAAAGAACUAAAUUGGCCCGAGUAAAGCAAUGGCAAAAGUUUUGGAAAAUAUGUGACUUGAAAUAGAAAAGUAGAACAUCAAUUUUAAUAAAAGAAUCAAGUUAUUCUGGUCUCAAUAUUUUUCAAAUUCAAUCAUACGUUUCUUGAAAUUGUAACUUAGUAGAAGAGAAUCAAAUUGGCACAAGCGAAUCGAGGCUAAAAACUUUGGAAAAAUUGUAAUUCAAAGAAAAAAUUCGGUUUUUCUCAUCUCAACUUUUUAAGAAAUUCAUUAAUAGUUUCUUGAAAUUUUCAAGUGUGAAAAAAAAACAAAUUGGCCCGAGCGAAGCGAGGGCAAAAAUUUUUGAAAAAAUGUGAAUUUUAGUUGGCAAAAUCAUAAAUUUAGAAACUGGUUUGGCUUCAAAAGUUGGGAAAGUUUUCAACUUUGAUGAUUGUAAAAAAUUUUAAUAUUUGAAAACUCCAAAACUAAAAUACUUACUGUCGGAAUUUUUGUAUUUUCCCAACUUUCUUGCAUUUCUCACAAUUUCCCAACUUUUCCCAACUUUCGCGAAACACUGGGGGGGCAGGCUGCCCCCCCUAGCCCCCCCUUCGCUACGCCCCUGGGUACAAAUAGAUUGUUGUUGGCAAAAUUUCAUCACUUUUUGAUACUUUUCAGUCAUUUUAAUGCAUUUUUGAGCGUUUUUUUACAUCAUUCUGACGAAUUCUUACUGUUUUUGGUAAUUUUUAGUUCAUUAAUUGAAUUAUGUAUUUGAGUUUUUUCACAUUUUUUUCGUGCAUUUUCAGGACUUUUCUGUACCUUUUUUUGAAUAUUUUUACAGCAUUUUGGAAGAUCUUCGACACUUUUGCAUGCUUUUCAGGAUAAUACUGACAAUCAUAUUUUUAUGCCAACUUUUAGUAAUUUUAAUAAUUUUUUAGUGUUUUUUUUUACAUCAUUUUAAAGGGUUUUUAGAUCAUUUUCGCGUAUUUUGCAAAAAUUUUGCUGAAAUUUCAUAAAUUUUGGAUAAUUUUUAGUGCUUUUAAUGCUUUUUUGACAGUUUUUCUACGAUUAUUUAUCAUCUUCUUUGUACGCAAAUGUUUUUAAAAAUUCAUAGUUCAAUUUGUUUUUUUGAAAAUUCUAGGUUUUCUUGAAACUAUAGUGCUCUUUUUCAAUGAUCUGCUUCUACAAACUUGGUACCUAUAGGUACUUAAUGGGUAAAAAAAUCAAAAACCCCUAAUUACUAGAAACGGCCUCGUUCUGAAAAUAAAACUGAGAAGACAAGAGGUGAAAUUGAAAAUGAUAAGAAAUUAAAAACUGAAAUAAAAUUGAAAAUAAAACAAAAUUUUGAAAAGGAACUAAAAAAUCUGAAAAUUGAGGAAAAAACAGAAAAUGAAAUCGAAAAUUUUGAAUUAAAACCGACAAGACCGAGAAUAAAAUUGAAAAAUGAUGGUAAAAAAUUGAAAACUGAAAUAAAAAUUGAUUAUUCUGAAUGAUCAUUACCUAUAUCAAGAACAUAAGAUGAAAUUGAAAACUAAAAAUAAAAUUAAAAAUUGAAAAUUAAAUCAAAAAUUGAAAAUAAAAUAAAAAAUCUGAAAAUAGAAGAAAAGACUGAAAAUGAAUCAGAAAAUUUUUGAAUUAAAAUCUAGACUUGAAUUAGAACUGAAAAUGAAUUUGAAAAAAAAAUUGAAAAAAAAACAAAACUAAAAUGAAAUUGAACUCAAAAACAUAUACCUAGUUGUAUCUAAAUGAAAUGAGAAUAAAAAAAACUCAAAAUAAAAUCGCAAAAUGAAACCCAAUUCAAAAUAAAAAGUUUCAUCAAAUUUUACAAAAAUUGAUCAACUCUAAAACUUUAAAAUGGCCUUACUCCUUCAAAACUGAAUGUGGAUCGAUGCUGAAAAUUGCGAUUUUCACAACAAAAAUCGCUCUACAAGUUUCUUUUUCAUUUUUUACUCACUUGGUACACUUUUAAACACUCAAAGUUUCCUUCCAUGAAUAGAUAGAGGGGCUUGUAGAUAGCGAGCAGUCUUCCUAGCCUGCCAUGCCACCCAGCCCCGAUUAAGAUAAAAAGAACUCUCGUUACUCAUUAUGUACAUUCGUAUUAAUAAGUAUCUAGAUAAGAACAAAUUCUUCUAUAAAAAUCGACCAGUUUACGACGUCGAUCGUUUCCGAAUCCAUAAGCUUUUAAACUUACUUUGUAAAAUUUAACCAAAAGCAAUGGAUCCAUUGAAACCAAGGGCGCAGCUUCAGGAUCUUCCCAUAUAUGACAAUGUAAUGCAGUUUAAAAGAGCCGGCGAUUCGUUUCGUUUGAUAGCGACUGUUUACUCGUUGUUAAUGAUAUGGGAUUCGAAAAAAAGUACAGGUUUUUCAGGUAAAUCUCAAGUGUUGUUCGCGAUCGUGUACACUGCUCGAUACUUCGGUGCAUAUAAGGGCGAUAUUCGUGUAUUGAAUGGAUUCGAAAUUUUAUUGAGAAUUACGCUAUUAUGUUCGACGUAUUUCAUGGUUUAUUUAAUUUACUACAAAUUCGCGUAUAAUUCCAGUCGCGAGCAAGAUAAGUUCAGGAUUGGAUAUCCAAUUGUCCUAUGCGGUUUUCUGGGUAUUUCAUAUAAUACUGGAUUUGCCGAUCAUGUGAUUGAUUACGAUGAAUUACGUUGGUUUGGGAUUCCUUUUGUCGAGAUUGGAUGGGCAUUCAGCUAUUAUUUGGAAGCUGUUGCAAUCUUGCCCCAGUUAAUGAUGCAACAAUAUACUCGUAAAAAUCCUGAAAAACAAGACUUUGUGAACGUUUACUUGAAACUUAUGUGCGUUUCACGAUUAAUGUACUCAAUUUAUUCGAUUAUUGAAGAAAAAUUCGAUGUGAUCAGCGCUGUAAGCGGCGUAAUUCAAUUGUGUUCCUAUCUGGGGUAUUUUUGGCUACAAGGAGGGCUCGAUCGGAAGUCAGAUCGGAGUAAGAUGAUUGAAGAUGACGUAUGACCCCUGUUUUGUUCUUGUUAUUGUAUUUUUUUUUCAAUUUUUUAACUUUUGUAUAGUUUUUAAGUGAUAACUGAUGAGUCCUAUUUGUGAUAAAUUAGCCUUUUGACAACAAAAAAAUUGUUAAGAGUUUAUUUUUCAUUUUAUUAUUUUUUUACAUACUUAUGUAUUUUACAGACAUUUUCGAAAUAAAAUUAAAAACUGAGCGUAUAAAGUUGGAUAUUUUCAAAGUGAAAUGUAAAAUUUUAAAGCAAAAACGUUUGAAAAUCAAGUUGAAGUUUCCGAAAAUGAAAUCAAAACUGAAAAUUAAAUUUGAUAUAGUGUAAUAUGAGGCCACUAGAAUCAAAAGUGUACUUCUCCAUUUUUGAACUUUUUGAGAAAAACGCAAAAAACCUCCCUAGCAUUCAUCGUAACAUAAAAUACCGAGGUAAUACGUCUAAUAUUUUCUUACCAACAUGCCGAUAGUGACCUGCAUGUUUGUUUUACCCUACACGUUGCCAUAAGAGUUCCUGAGCCGCUUCAAGUUUGGAGAAGUGCAGUUUUGUCUCCAACCUUACACUUAAUAUAUCUUUGUAGCACA